rnacentral:rRNA from 1 species
CAAGGAAUUUUCCACAAUGGGCGCAAGCCUGAUGGAGCAACGCCGCGUGCGGGAUGACGCCCUUCGGGGUGUAAACCGCUUUUCGAGGGGACAAAGGCAAUGACGGUACCCUCGGAAUAAGGAUCGGCUAACUACGUGCCAGCAGCCGCGGUAAGACGUAGGAUCCGAGCGUUGUCCGGAGUUACUGGGCGUAAAGCGCGCGCAGGCGGAUACGCGCAUCGGCGGUGAAAGCCCCCCGCUCAACGGGGGAGGGUCCGUCGAGAUGGCGUGUCUGGAGGCAGGGAGAGGCCAGUGGAAUUCCGGGUGUAGUGGUGAAAUGCGUAGAGAUCCGGAGGAACACCAGUGGCGAAGGCGGCUGGCUGGACCUGACCUGACGCUGAGGCGCGAAGGCGUGGGGAGCGAA